rnacentral:rRNA from 1 species
CCCCUAGAUGUUCUGGGCCGCACGCGCGCUACACUGAACAGUUCAACAAGUCUUAACCUUGGCCGAAAGGUCUGGGUAAUCUCCAAAUUUCGUCGUGAUGGGGAUAGAUUAUUGCAAUUAUUAAUCUUCAACGAGGAAUGCCCAGUAAGCGCAAGUCAUCAGCUUGCGUUGAUUACGUCCCUGCCCUUUGUACACACCGUCCGUCGCACCUACCGAUUGAAUGGUCCGGUGAAAUCUCGGGACGGCGGCUUGGUCGCUUGCGUCCGACUGCUGAAACUUGAUUAAACCAUAUCAUUUAGAGGAAGGUGAAGUCGUAACA